rnacentral:tRNA from 1 species
GGGGUUGUGGCUCAGUGGUAGAGCACACAUCUAGUGCGUGUGAGGCACUGGGUUCGAUCCUCAGUACCA